ensembl:snRNA U2 U2 spliceosomal RNA
AUCACUUCUUGGCCUUUUGGCCAACAUCAAGUGUAGUAUCUUUUCUUAUCAGAAAUAAGCAAAGCAUUCACUGACCAUCACAUAACUGUUUAUCUGGUGAGGGAAAGCCAAUCCAAUGGUCACAUUACUAUCUGUGUAACAUCAAACCCUGAUAAAUACCUUUU